rnacentral:rRNA from 1 species
GAUGAACGCUGACAGAAUGCUUAACACAUGCAAGUCUUUGGUGAAGCUGUGCUUGUACAGCCUAGCCAAGGCGGACGGGUGAGUAACGCGUAAGGAACUUGCCCUGCAGUCAGGGAUAACAGACGGAAACGACUGAUAAGACCUGGUAAAGUCAGGCGGACUCAUGUCCAGCCUGAUGAAAAGAGAUGCUGCAGGAGAGCCUUGCGUCCUAUUAGCUUGUUGGUGGGGUAACGGCCCACCAAGGCAAUGAUAGGUAGCCGGCCUGAGAGGGUGGACGGCCACAAGGAGACUGAGAGACGGCCCUUACUCCUACGGGAGGCAGCAGUGGGGAAUAUUGGACAAUGGCGGCAACCCUGAUCCAGCAAUUCUGUGUGCACGAUGAAGGUUUUCGGAUUGUAAAGUGCUUUCAGCAGGGAAGAAAAAAAUGACGGUACCUGCAGAAGAAGCGACGGCUAAAUACGUG